GCGGUAAGGCCCCUGCUUGCAGGGGUACACGAGCGGCGAACGGGUGAGUAACACGUGAGUAAUCUGCCCUUCACUCUGGGAUAAGCUUCGGAAACGGGGUCUAAUACCGGAUAUGACGCAUCCAGGCAUCUGGUGUGUGUGGAAACUUUUGUGGGUGGGGGAUGUGCUCGCGGCCUAUCAGCUUGUUGGUGGGGUAAUGGCCUACCAAGGCUUCGACGGGUAGCCGGCCUGAGAGGGUGACCGGUCACACUGGGACUGAGACACGGCCCAGACUCCUACGGGAGGCAGCAGUGGGGAAUAUUGGACAAUGGGCGGAAGCCUGAUCCAGCAACGCCGCGUGAGGGAUGACGGCCUUCGGGUUGUAAACCUCUUUCACCAUUGACGAAGCCGCACAGUGUGUGUGGUGACGGUAGGUGGGGAAGAAGCACCGGCCAACUACGUGCCAGCAGCCGCGGUAAUACGUAGGGUGCGAGCGUUGUCCGGAAUUAUUGGGCGUAAAGGGCUCGUAGGCGGUUUGUCGCGUCGGGAGUGAAAACACUGGGCUUAACUCAGUGCUUGCUUUCGAUACGGGCAGACUAGAGGGAUGCAGGGGAGAACGGAAUUCCUGGUGUAGCGGUGAAAUGCGCAGAUAUCAGGAGGAACACCGGUGGCGAAGGCGGUUCUCUGGGCAUGUCCUGACGCUGAGGAGCGAAAGUGUGGGGAGCGAACAGGAUUAGAUACCCUGGUAGUCCACACCGUAAACGUUGGGCGCUAGGUGUGGGAUCCAUCCACGGGUUCCGUGCCGCAGCUAACGCAUUAAGCGCCCCGCCUGGGGAGUAC
rnacentral:rRNA from 1 species